UACGAAGGGGGCUAGCGUUGCUCGGAAUCACUGGGCGUAAAGGGCGCGUAGGCGGCCUUGUAAGUUGGGGGUGAAAGCCCGUGGCUCAACCACGGAAUUGCCUUCGAUACUGCUUGGCUUGAGUGUGGUAGAGGUUGGUGGAACUGCGAGUGUAGAGGUGAAACUCGUAGAUAUUCGCAAGAACACCGGUGGCGAAGGCGGCCGACUGGACCAUCACUGACGCUGAGGCGCGAAAGCGUGGGGAGCAAACAGGGAUUAGAUACCCUGGUAGUCCACGCCGUAAACGAUGAAUGCCAGCUGUUGGGAUGCUUGCAUCUCAGUAGCGCAGCUAACGCUUUGAGCAUUCCGCCUGGGGGAUACGGUCGCAAGAUUAAAACUCAA
rnacentral:rRNA from 1 species